rnacentral:lncRNA from 1 species
AACUUUUCCUAUGAACUCUUCUCUAAAGCAGGUCACAGGGAAAAAAAGGGUUUAAAGAGAAAUAACUUCUCCGGGCAAAAACUGAGGUUAGCGGGCCUAUCAGCUGUUUCUUCUCACUCCACCACUGCUGCUGACUGGAGGAGCAGCCUGGAAAGCAGCCGCCCUCCCGCAAACAGAGCUCCAGCUCCAAAUCUGUGAGAGUGCAUUUGGCAGAAUCUGAACAAGCAACACAAUGAUUAGAGGGUUUUUGUUUUUUUGUUUGUUUUUAACAGUUUUGUUACAAUGUUUCCACCCCAAAAUGUACCUGGAUUUGAACUAAGAAUUUGCUAGAGGGCCCUGUGCAAAACCAUGGUGGGCAGAAACUACGAAGAAGCUUGCUCAAAGUGGAACUGAAGGAAGUAGCAGAAUUAUGCAGACUGGGGACCACUGGAAUCAACAUCUGUUGACUCUGGAUACCUUGAAACCCAACCACCAUUCAGCUUCAAUUACCAAAUAUACUCCCUGGAAUCUUCACUACGAUCAAGAUAAUGAACCUAUUCAUCACCCCCAGAAGUUUCCUCGUGCCCCUUUGUAUUACUUUUGUUUGUAAUAGAUGUACAUAGAAGCAAACAAGCAAUCCAUCAACAACAACAACAACAACAAAAUCUAUUUUUCAAAAAAGCAUUUUAUGACUUUUCUGAAAUCUAAUGCACUUUUGUGCAGUUAAGAAUUUAAUAUUCUGCCUUUCAUUCUUGGCAAAACUUCUUGAAAAGGUGAUACAUUUGUCCCUGAUUUUGAUAAAAUGACUUCAAUUGCAGGAGACAGUAUUCAUGUAGGAUGCAGACGGCCCCUUAAUGUCAGUGUAGUCCAGUAGAGAACAUAAUAAGGCUCAGUACUGUGUGUACAGCUUUCAUCUUCAGCCAUGAAGCAAAAUUAAACAAGUAGUUCAUCAUUUCAGGCACUCCUUCUGCACCUUAGGUACCAAGAUGUUUUGUUCAAUUGAAUUUUUACUCAACAAAUAAACGUUUUACCAU